GACGAACGCUGGCGGCGUGCUUAACACAUGCAAGUCGAACGCUGAAGACCUGGCUUUUGUUUGGUUGGAUGAGUGGCGAACGGGUGAGUAACACGUGAGUAACCUGCCCUCUUCUUUUGGAUAACGCCCGGAAACGGGUGCUAAUACUGGAUAUUCACUGAUCUUCGUAUGGGGGUUGUUGGAAAGGUUUGUUCUGGUGUGGGAUGGGCUCGCGGCCUAUCAGCUUGUUGGUGGGGUGAUGGCCUACCAAGGCUUUGACGGGUAGACGGCCUGAGAGGGUGACCGGCCACAUGGGGACUGAGAUACGGCCCAGACUCAUACGGGAGGCAGCAGUGGGGAAUAUUGCACAAUGGGCGAAAGCAUGAUGCAGCGACGCCGCGUGAGGGAUGGAGGCCUUCGGGUUGUAAACCUCUUUCGCUCAUGGUCAAGCCGCAACUGUGGGUUGUGGUGAGGGUAGUGGGUAAAGAAGCGCCGGCUAACUACGUG
rnacentral:rRNA from 1 species